CCCGUUGGGAUGCCACCUGUGGGUCCCGGAGACAGCAUCCUGGGCUUGGGACCAAACAGCCACUCCCAGGGCUCCCACUCCAAGACGCCCAUCGGGGGCCAGAAACGGGCCUUCUCCCACCUGCUGCCCAGCCCGGAGCCCAGCCCGGAGGGCGGCUACGUCGGACAGCACUCUCAGGGCCUGGGGGGGCACUAUGCAGACUCCUACCUGAAGCGGAAGAGGAUAUUUUAACCCCUCCCUUCUGAAGCACUCGUCCCUUCCGCCUGUAAAUCUUGUACAAACUCUUUUUUACCAGUAGUCUGGAUUUUUGAGGUUUUUAUGUGUGAAAGACUCGGCUUCUCUGAGCCUUCCUGCCGGGGAUGGGCCUUCCCAGAGUUGGCCCCCUGGGGCCACAGCAGGCGGGAACCCUGUGAUCCCUUCUGCCUCCUGCCCGCUGUGCAGUCUGCUGUGUUCUGAUUGCAGUAACUGGGAGCCACGCCUGAGUGAGGACAGUAACUCCAGGGAGACGUGUGUUCCCUGCCUUAAGCCGCUGCUUCUGAGAGCGCAGCGGAACCGGCUCCAGCAAGCCCCCCGCUUCAGGAGCAUGGUGGUUCCUGGCAGCGCAGAGGCUGGAUCUGCCUGUUCCCAGUCCCCCGCCCCGCUCAAAGCCUUCUGAGCUGCGUCUGGGAUGCAGCCCCCUGAGGCCCUCACUCGCCUCUGCAGGGUCCUGGGGUGUAACCCCUCGACGCUGCCGUUUUCCUGUUUGGUAAUGAGAUUGGCGAGCUGCCUUUUAAUCCCUGCCUUGGGUUUUAUUUCCUUUUGUAAUUAGCUAGGAGCCAGGAUCUGGGCCCAUUGUAAAGUCGCUGAGCCUGGUCCUUCCGGUUUUUAGUUUCUCCCUCCGGGGCAUGAACUUUGCUUCUAGACGUUUUUUGUUUUUGUUUUUUUCUUUGUUUGGAGGGUGUCCAAGGGUUCCCUGGGCUCCUGCUUUGCUGAGCUUCCCCUCCUGGGGACCAAGCUUGGGGCUCGCCUGUGGCUUAGUGGGACUGGGCAUUCGACCAGCUCCAGCCUCUUUGUUUCGCCUUAACUUCAGCUGAGCCGCUGUGGCAGGCAGGCUGCCCGCAGCCCGGGGCAUCAAGCCCUUAGCUCUGUGCUGAGAGCGGAGUGGCUGGCUGCCUAUUACCUGAGCCACGCAGUAGUGCGGCAGGAUGCAGAGCGGGGUUUCGUCUCCACCGUGGGGAGGGGGCCACGCUGCUUCCUCACGGGAGGGCUGGUGGGCCUGUGUGGACAGAGCCCCCUCUUGCUGGGGCCUUUUAUCAAGUUGUGUGUCUGGCUUGCUGUAUUGGUGGGACUCCAGGCCUGCCGGCGCUGGGCAUCGCCUCCCUCAAGUAAAGAGAUUUAGAU